rnacentral:rRNA from 1 species
UACGUAGGGUGCAAGCGUUGUCCGGAAUUAUUGGGCGUAAAGAGCUCGUAGGCGGUCUGUCGCGUCUGCUGUGAAAACCUGGGGCUUAACCCCGGGCCUGCAGUGGGUACGGGCAGACUUGAGUUCGGCAGGGGAGACUGGAAUUCCUGGUGUAGCGGUGAAAUGCGCAGAUAUCAGGAGGAACACCGGUGGCGAAGGCGGGUCUCUGGGCCGAUACUGACGCUGAGGAGCGAAAGCGUGGGGAGCGAACAGG